CAUGGUGGGGCAAGCGUUGUUCGGAAUUACUGGGCAUAAAGGGUGCGUAGGCGGCUUGUUAAGUCAGGGGUGAAAGUUUUCGGCCCAACCGGAAAAUUGCCUUUGAUACUGGCGAGCUUGAGUGCGUGAGGGGUAACCGGAACGAGUCGUGUAGCGGUGAAAUGCGUAGAUAUGACUCGGAAGGCCAACGGCGAAGGCAGGUUACUGGUACGCAACUGACGCUGAGGCACGAAAGCGUGGGGAGCAAACAGGAUUAGAUACCCUGGUAGUCCACGCCGUAAACGAUGAGCACUAGGUAGGUGCCGAGCUAUUCGGUGCCUGCCGCAGAUAAUUUGGUAAGUGCUCCGCCUGGGGAGUAUGGUCGCAAGGCUG
rnacentral:rRNA from 1 species